AAUUCAUUACAGGCGAGUUAGACAUGGUAUACACCUCACUUAACAUGAAGGAAUAUAUCCAUGGUGGAGGAUUCAAGGAAGAUGUACCUAACUUGGAGGAAGUGAUUGUGCAAAAAGGAGUGGCUCACUUCAACAAUCAAGAAGCAGCAGAAGAAAUCAGUAAUCACAUUUACGAAUUCAUCAAAAAGUUUUGAGCUGAUCUUCCAAUGAAAUAAUAACCAUGCUGCUAAGUCUAUUUCGUGAUUCUUAUAAGUUUUGCAUGUGUUAGAUUUACUUGUACUCUAUCCACUUAAAUGUAAUAACAACACAACUGUGCCAUGAGAUAUUGGAUUAUAUCUUUCUGGUUCAAAACCAUGUUGAUAAUACCCUCUCAAUUUCUGAAUAAUUGUUGAUUUAGAAAAAAUAAAAAGUUCAUAUAUUGAGGAUUACUAUUUUAUAUUUUCAAGAGAAAUUUCAUUUAGUUUAUAUAUCUAAAACAAAUAUCUCCAAAAGUUAAUUCCGGUGUUUUAAAAUUAUUGUAAAAUAAUUAAAUGAAUCAUUUAUAAAUUAUAAGAAAUAGAAAGUAAUAUGUUGAUCGCUCUCAAAUUAUUAUUAUCUAAUUUUCAUUUAUGAUCAUAAAAACAAAUCAAUGGUCAAUAAAAAUAACAUAGUAAAAUUAUCCUUUUAUAUCUAUAAGUGGUUUUAUAAAAAAGAGGAAAAAAUCAUAGGUAACAAUGCAAUUACUACUUCAGUAAAAAAAAUAUAAAUUUUAUUAAUUAAAUUACGAAAUUAAAAAGUAAAAAGUCAUAAUAAAUAUAUUGAUAAUUAAUAGUCUUUCAAUAACUUUAUCCUUUAAAAGAAUUAAUUAAUUAAUUUUUCAUUAAUAUAUCUUAAUAUUCAAAAUAAACUUAUAAAAAAUAAAAGUAUUUCUCAAAUGUUAUUUAAGAACGAAUCUAAUAAUACUAAAUAGUAAAUUGUGUAAUUUUAAUACUUCAAAAACAACCUUUUUCCGAUGCUUUUGGAAAUUGUGACAUGUAUAUAUGUUGAAUAGACGCAUUUCCAAUUUUAUAUUGAAUAAUGACAUAAAUGUAAAAUAAACAGUUAAUACAGCUAAAGCUUUUUUUAUAUUAUUUUCGUCUCACAAUUCAUGAUUAGUUUUUAGAAAAAAAUGAUGUAAAAUAAAUAUUUUUAAUUUUGAAUAUAGUUUUUAUUAAAUUUUUUUUAAUUAUAUUCUCUAUUUGAAACGAAUUGCAUCUUACUCAUCUUUAAAAAAAACUUAUCACACAUUUAAAAUAAAAUAAUUAUUUAGUAAAAAAAAUAGUUAAUUAAUUGAGUGAAAAAAAAAAGAAAAACAGUUAAUUUUAUUUAUUAUCUUUAAAAUAAAAAAAAUCAACUGUAUUAAAUUAGAAUUUAAUUAUUUGUAUCCACGUUAUAAACUGUUUUUACUUUCAAAAUGACAAUGACACCCAUUUUUUAGAUGAGUUUUUAAAAUAUAAAACAAUUUACACCAGUUAUAUAUAAAACAAUAUUGCUGUUCACGGCAAUACAGUAAUUUGUGAAAAAAAAAAUGGUAAUACAGUAAUUAAUGACGACGAUGGUAAAAAUGGUAAAAAGUCAAGAAUGUCAAUAAGACAAAUCUGAUGCAGUCUGCUGUGGUCACAGCUCACAAGUGAAUAGUCCCCAAAUAUCGUUACACGUGUUUCUUUUAAUUACUCCUCAGUCCUCACUCACAAUCGAACUCUUACUCUUAGUUAAAAUCGCCCAUAUACGUGCUUCUUUUAAUUACUCCUCACUCACAAACAAACUUUUUUUUUUUUUUUUUUUUUUUUUUUUUUUUUAAGUUAUACCAUAUUUCAAGAUUUCAUUUGCAACAAUUGUAUUUGAAAUAUAUAAUCAUAAAUGGUGUAAGACAACUUUAAAAAAAUGAAAUUUAAACAAAUUUUAGACCAAAAUUCUGUUUGUGGACCAAAACUGAUGAUAAAUAAAAAGGGAGGACUACUUUCGCGAUUCAGCUAAAAUAGGGGAACAAAAGCUGCAAUUAAGCCAUUUAUUUAUAUUUUAGAAAUAUUGUCUUAUCUUUUUUUUUUUUUUAUAGGAUAAGUAUGUACAAGUUAUAUGUGAAAUAUUUGAGGUAUCUUAUUUAUUUUAUCUCUCUAUUUUCGAAAUACAUUUCUAGAUUGACCGAGAAGAAAAUUUGUAUAUUGACUUGAGUUUUUGUGCAUUAACAUUUUUAUGGUGAUAUUUAUAUUUUGGUUUAUCACAUUGUGGGAGUUCAACUUUUUUUUGCUAUACUCAAUUUCAUUAGUAGCUCCUUUGAUGGUAGUCUCUUUGUAGUUCUAAAAGAAUACUUUAUCUAAUGUUAUUUAAGAUUUUUGUACACGUAUUUAAAAAUACAAUAAGUAGAAGUAGAAGAAAGAGAGUUUAUAAUUUAAAUAGUUUGUAAUAAUCAUCUUAAUCAAGAUGGGAAGACCAAAAAAGAACUUAUAAUUUAAAUAGUUUAUAAUUUAUUAUUUUUUAAUUUUAUCUUUUAAAUAACUUUAAUGAAUAAUAUUUUAUAGUAAAUAAUUUUAAAUAGUUUAUUAAUUAUAUUUUAAAACAAAUAAACUAGCUAAAUAAAUACAAAAUAUAUUAGAUUAAUAAAUAAUAUAUUUAUUAUAAUUUUAAAUUAUUUAUAAAUAAUUUCAAAUUUUAAAUAACUAAUAUUUUAACAUAAUUAAUUAAUUUAUUUUCAUUUAAAAUAAAUAAAAUAGAUUAAUAAAUAAAAAAUGUAUUAGAUAGAUAAAUUUUAAAUUACUAAUUAAUUAAAUAUUAAUUAGUAAAAUUUAUUUAUACUUAAGAAUGUCAUUUUAUAUUUUUAAUCUAAUUAAACGAUUAAUUUUAUCAAAUACUUUAAUUAACUUAAUAUAUUUCAACUAAUUUUACCAAACAAAACUUUAGUCUAUUUUCAGAUUAACUUUUCAUUUCUAACAAAAUUCUUAAAUUGAUUGUUUCUAGAGAUUGUUUAGUAGUACUCGUUAAGAAAUAAUUUUGAUUUUUGAAGAAUAGAUUUAGUUCAUAUUUAUUAUGUUACAAUUUUCGAAGUAUGCAAAGGGUCUAGAUGUAAAAGAUAAUAAAGUAAUAAUAUAAGGGUAACUAAUAGAAUGAGAUGUAACGGAAACCAUCCAAAUCAAUUGCAUUAUUUUUUAACAUCCAAAUCAAUUGCAUUAUUUAAUUUUUAACAUCCAAACAAUGAAAUAGGAUCCCCACCCUUUUCACUUUAUACCACUUCAUUUUAUGAGCACAAAAAAGUCAAAGUAAAUGGUAACAGUUAAAUAGACAUGAUCUUGGGACAAUUACUUGGUAUUAUAUGUUUUGAGAUUUAAGUUAAAAAGUUUAAAAAUCAUGUAAAAAAACAAUUUGAUCUAAUUUUAUUCUAACAUGAUUUUUUUGUUCAAAUUUAAAUGUUAAAACUAAAAAUCAUAAACUUACAUUCACUACGAAAAUAAAUGUAUAUCAAGUAUCAACACCAACGCAAUUCAUUAUUCUUUCAUAUAUUAUUCAAGUAGAAAACUACUCUACAUAUAGAAUCAAUGGUUUUCCAACUUAGCACAUUCCAUCGUUCUCCACAUGGUUAAGCCACUAAACAUGGAUGGAUAAUAUAUUCAAACUAACAAAGUUCAUUUAUGGACAGAGCAAAGUCCAUUCAAAUUAUUGAGCAUCCAAGUAACAAAAUGAAACAUUAUUUUUUGAUCAAAUCAACUAUUAAACAUUCAAAUUAUUUUUAAACAAUUGUCAAUACAUUCCAACUAUUUUGACUCACUUAUCAUCCAUGUCCAAAAACUUAUUCAAUAAGAAUAAUGAGAAAAUACAAAAAGUUGAGGGAGUGGACCAAAACCCAACACAAAAGUCUAUUCCCUUUAACACUGAAUGAUUCUGCUAGGAUGAGUUUGGGAAAAACGCGGGUUGAUUUCGUCGAUAGAAAUAUCUUCUGAGCAAUGUCAAUCUGUCAACUGGUCUAAUGAGUUUUCUCCUUUUAUGUCUUAUUUAUCACCAUUGGCAUUCAUAGAGUUAUGUUGAUUUGUUGAAAAUAAUAGUCUAGACUACAUUCUAUCAGUUCUCACAACAUUGUUCUAUUUCUCAGUGAUUAUCUGCAUAUCAAUACAAUAAAAUAUAAGAGUUAGCUAAAUGAGUAUCAUUCUUGCAGCCAAAAUGUGAUGAAUAUAGCUAUAACAUGUUAAAGUAACCAAACAAAAGCUAUCUAUUUGAACAAAAAAGAAAUAUAUCAUGCUGAAUGAACUCACAUAGAAAGGUAUAUAAGUUCGUUUUCCAUUGACAAGUCCACUUGCAAAGACAGUGUAACCUGCCAUUGCUCUCCAUGAAUAGCACUUUGAGCAAGAAGUGUGCAGUAAACAUUGUCAGAAGCAUUACUUGGAACAGCUCGGAUCAUAUACGUUGGAUCUGCAACGCAGAAAAGAUACAUCAAUAUUUUUUCAAUUAUUGAUUGCUCCUUUGAGUAUCGAUGGACGCAUGCGUAUACACACACAAUAUUUUUUUUUUUUACAUAUUUUAAUUUUUACAAACUUAUAUCCUUGAGAGUUAUGUCCAUCUUCUUCCCUUUGUCAAAAUGAUCCUCGAAUAUCGAAAUGCUUAAAGUAAGCGGAAAAAAAUAUCUUCAAAAACAUUAGUCCAUCUAUUUGAGAUAUCCAUGGACCAACAUCUUGAAGAAGGUUGUUUCCAGAAGCAUCAUGUGUUGUCGACGGAUGGCAUGCUUUUGGAAAUAAGUUUUUGUCCAUCAACUUCAGCAAUCACAAUUACCAUGUGACCAUUUUCUUUGAAUCUUUUCUCUAUACAUUCAUAAAGUCCACCAGAACCUUCUAAGUAAAAAGGUGACUCUGGAAUCAAGUAACAAUCCACAUCUCUACUUGCAAGAGUAGCAUACAUUGCAAUAGAUCAUGCACAUUGAAUUAAUGCAUAUAUAAAAACAAUGCUUGAUUUGAUACAAAUACAAGUAACAUAAGAAUACAUGUGUAUUUUUAUGACAAAAUGCGUGAAAAAAGGUAACAUAAUGUAACUUAAAGAACUAUUACCACUAUAUCGACCCAUUAGCUUGACAACGCCUAUACCAUUUUUGACACUUUCAGCUUCAACGUGUGCUGCAUUUAUAACACGUUGAGCAUCCUCAACAACAGUGUCAAAUCCAAAGGACUUAUCAAUAAUCUAUUAAACAAGAAAGAAGAAUUAAACCAAUGAGUAGUAAUAAAUGGAUUCAAAUUAUACAAAUGUGCAAGAAAAAGGACUUACUGAGAUAUCAUUAUCUAUGGUUUUUGGGAUUCCUACAACUGAACAUUUGAGACCACGUCUUCUUACUUCCUGUAUUCAUAAUCAACACUAUAAAUAUCUUAUUUUAAAAUUGACAAGUUUGGCAGUCUCAUUUAAAUUAUAAAUACCUCGAAAAUUUGAGAUACACUCCUUCUAUCACAUCAAUAAAUAUUUUCUUUAAUAAAGACCUAAUUAACUCCAAACUACUAAAGACUAAAUUGUAAAACAAAUAUCUCCAAAAAGUAAUUUUAGUGUUUUAAAAUUCUUGUAAAAUAAUCAAAUGAAUCACUCAUAAAUUGUAAGAAAUAGAAAGUAAUAUGUUCAUGACUUUCAAGUUACCAUUAUCUACUUUUCAUUUAUGAUCACAAAAACAAAUCAAUGGUCAAUAAAAAUAACAUAGUAAAAUUAUCAUUUUAUAUCUAUAUUCAUCAUUUUCUUGAUUUGUGUUAAUUUCAUCAAUUACUGUGAGAUUUAUAUAGUAUCUUAUUAAUACUACAUGUGGGUUUAUACAUAAGAGGAAAAAAUCAUAGAUAACAAUGCAAUUAUUACUUAAGUCAAAAAAUAUAAAAUUUAAUUAAUUAAAUUCCGAAAUUAAAAAAAUUAAAAGUCAAAUUAAAUUUUGUCGAUAGUUAAUAUAUUUUAAUAAUUUUAUCCUAUAUAAUUAAUUAAUUUUUCUUUAAUACAUCUUAAUAUUCAAAGAUGAACUUAUAAAGAAAAAGUCUUAGAUAUUUAUAUUUAAGAAGGAAUCUAAUAGUACUAAAUAGUAAAUUAUGUAAUUUGAAUACUUCAAAAAUCACUUUUUUUGAAUGCUCUUGGAGGUUGAUAGUCAAAAAACCAAAGUCGACAUACAGAGUGUGGUGUGGUCAAAGACUCACAGAUUACAAGUGAAUUGCAUUUCUUUUAAUUACUCCUCACUCACAAACAAACUCUUACUCUUAGUUUAAUUUACAGUGCAAUAAAUUUACACAGUGUCUAUUAAAUUUUUUGUUGAUGGGUUUGGGUUGGAAUCGUGUUAUAUAUAUAUGUAUAUUUAUAUAUUUAUAUAUAGAUAUAUCAUUGGGUUCAAGUAAAGAAUUGGAAGGAAUCGAACACAGAACAAUUGAAGCUAAUGGAAUCAAAAUUCAUAUAGCAGAGAAAGGAAAAGAAGGUCCAGUUGUUUUAUUCCUUCACGGCUUCCCUGAAAGCUGGUACUCAUGGCGCCACCAGAUUGCGGCUCUAGGUUCACUCGGCUACAGAGCCGUGGCUCCAGAUCUACGUGGAUACGGUGACACCGAAGUUCCAAGUUCGAUAAGCAAUUAUACGAUAUUUGACUUAGUUGGUGAUAUCGUUGGUGUAAUCGACGCGCUUGGUGUGGAUAAAGUAUUUCUUGUGGGUCAUGAUUGGGGUGCUGUCAUUGGUUGGCAAGUCUGUUUGUUUCAUCCUGAAAGAGUAAAAGCUUACGUUGCUUUGAGUGUUCCCUAUGCGCCUAGAAAUCCCAUAUUGAAACCUGUUACUGCCAUGCGACUUUUGUAUGGGAAUGAUUUUUAUAUCUGCAGAUUCCAGGUUCACCUUCUUUUUAUUCAUAAUUAAUGUAAAACAAUGCAUCUAGCUUGAAAAUUGAUAGCUGAAGAAAUGGUAUUAAUUUCAUUAUUGUGCAUGUGACAGGAACCUGGGAAAGCAGAAGCUGAAUUUGCCAAAGUGGGGGCAGAACUGGUUAUUAGGGGCAUGCUCACAACUCGUACUCCUGGGCCACCAAUCUUACCCAAAGAUGGCUUUGGUUCUGAUCUAGAUCCUGCAAAUCCACCUCCACUCCCUUCAUGGCUCUCACAAGAAGAUCUGUCUUACUAUGUUUCUAAAUUUGAUAAAUCAGGAUUCACUGGUGCCCUUAACUACUAUAGAAAUAUCAACUUGUAAGUCUUUAUUACUUUUGAUACAUGAAUGUAAUAUUUGAAAUAUUGAGUAACUAAAAUUGGACAAUCUUAAUUCAAUUCUAUAUCUAUAUAAUGUACUAGUUGUUAAAUUAUAGUUUGAGACGGAGAUAAGAUAUUUUGGAGAACAAUUGUAAAAUUAGUAUUAAUAUCAGUUUAUUUAUUAAUAAUUUGUCUGUGGUUGUAAUUUUUACAGAAAUUGGAAGCUUACUGCAUCAUGGACUGGAGCAAGAGUGAAAGUACCUGUGAAAUUCAUCACAGGUGAUUUGGAUUUAGUUUACCAUUUGUUGGGUACUAAGCUAUAUAUUAAGAGUGGUGCUUUCAAGCUAUUUGUGCCAAAUUUGGAAGAAGUGGUUAUUCAAAAAGGUGUUGCUCACUUCAUCAACCAAGAAGUUGCUGACAAUGUCACCAAUCACAUUUAUGAAUUUAUCAAGAAGUUCUGAUUUUGUCACUUGUUGUUUACUUAAAUAUCGCCUUCUAAAUAAUAAUUAAGCCGCAAUUUGGAUACGAUAAGCAUGUACAAGUAUUCGUGAAUUAUCUCCGAAAUAUUAAAUAAAUUAAUUUAAAAAAAAGAAUUGAUAUUUUUAAAUCAUAUAUCUGCAUGUAAGUAUUCGUGAAAUAUUAUAUUCGAUAUGAAUACGUCUCUAUGUUUAUAGCCACUAUCCCUUUUGUUUAAGUUCAAUCUAUUUAAAGUACCUUUUUUAUCUCUUUAUUUUCAAAUACAUUCCUAAAUAAAGGUGCAAACACGAAAAUGGGGGUUAAAUUUUGUUUUCCGAAGUUGAUAACUUUUUGAUAAUUUCUAAAUAAAUAAAAACAAAAAACUAGUUUGGUUUUGGUGACUUACUUAGAUAAGAAACAAUCAGAUUCAUAAAUAAUUUGACACGUAGAUUUAUCCUGAUUCACCACUAACUUGGCUACCAGUUCCCUCUUUUAGAAGGUUUUAAUCCACUAAUUCAAAAAAACUUUGAAUUACAAAGCAUCUGAUAUUCUACAAAAACUUUGAAUUCAAAUGCCUAAAAUUCAUCAACGAAAAAUAUAAUUUUGUGUUUGACUAUUCAUAUUAUGGAUAGAUGUUAAUAUGGAUAAAAUAUGAAAUACUAAUUAAAGUUAGAAAGAAUGAAAUUAUGUUCAACUAUCGAUGUUUUGGAUAGAAGCUGAAAUGUCAAUGAGACUAAAAAUAAUGAAUUUUUUUGUUUUUUUUUUAAUAGCAUAAAAAUAAGGAAUUUUGCUUAAUCAUCUAUUUUUUUAUGGAUAUAAAGCUAGAAUGUCAAUUCAGACUACAAUAAAUAAUAAAUUUUGUAGAAUGACAAUUAAAGCUAAAACAUGAAAUGAAUUUUGUAGAAUGUCAAUUAAGAAUAAAAGAAUAAUGAAUUUUGUAAAUUGUCAAUGAGGCUAAUUAUAAAGAAAGAAGAAAUAUAUCAUCAAAUUUUGUGUUCCUAAAAAACUUUGAUCAUAAAACUCAAUCAACAAUCUCGCAUUGUUCAAUCUUUUGUCUUCAGUAUUUGUUUCUAUUAGAUUUUAAUUUAUAGGUUGAAGAUUCACUUGAAAUUAUCUCUUUCAUAUUUGGAUUAGUAGGUGAUGACUUUGAUUUUUAUUGUGUCAAGACUCUAAUUCAUUAAUAAAGGUACUGAGUUUCAAAGAAAUUAUUAUAACUGCACACAUCUUAAUUCUACAUUCAGCGUUGAGGGGACACAACUUGCUUAAAAACACCAUUAUCAACAUCUUAAUUCAAAUAUGGAAGUGAAUCUUCAACUUACACAUCAAAAUCUACUAAAAAUAAAUACGAAAUAUUGUGAUUGAGCAAUGCCAGAUUGUUGAUUGAGUUUUUACUAGAGGUGGGCAAAGUUCAGUUAUGAACUAGAAUCGUUUGAAAAUUGAACCGAAUUGGUUUUCAGUUUAAAAAAACCGAACUGAACUGAUUUUUAGUAUAAAAACCGAACCAAACUGGUUUAUAAAUUGGUACACCAGUUUAUUAUUUAAACCGAACCAAAUCGGUUUAACUUAAUUUUUUAUUUAUAUAGGUCAAAUUUUACAUAAAUACCCCUAGUUAUUUCUAUAAAAAAAAUUCGAUUCAAGUUUUUUGAAAUAAAAACCGAUUCGGUUUAGUUCUAGUUUUAAAAAAUCAGUUCGAAAACAGUUCGGUUCUCAAUUUUUAUAAACCAGUUCAGUUCAAAAACAGUUCGGUUCAGUUCAAUUCUGCAGUUUAGUUUAAUUUUUGAUUUUUUUGAACACCCCUAGUUUUUACAUCAAGAUUAGUCAAAACUUUUCAAAAACGUCAAAAAUAAAAAAUUAGUAAUCAUUUUUUAUAGUUAGCCUCAUUGUCAUUUUACAAAAUUCUUUCUUUUAGUGCAUUCUACAAAAUUGAUUAUUUCUUGUAAACCUAAUUGAUAUUUUAAAAAGUUCAUUUUUUUAUGCAUUCUUAAAACAAAAUGACCCCAAAAGUCCAACACAAAAAGUGCAAAAUAUUAAAGAGAAAAAAAAAACGCAAGAAAAAAAGAGUGAAGAUCCAUUUCAUUUUAUAAGAGAAAUUUUGAUAUUAAAUUUAAUCCGUGAAACAAUAAACACAUGUUUUAGUUAAAAAAAAUUUAAACCAGCACAACUUAUUAUUAAUUGUCACUUUUCAUAGAGAAUUGAUUAUUUUCUUCUUCUUAUAAAUACUCUAUUUUAAAUAUAAUUUUAUUUAUGUUAUAUCAAAUGUAAAUUAAAAUAUAUAUCUCAAUUAAUAUUUAAACUUAAUUGUUGUAAGAAUUUAAUCUCUUCUAUCACAUCAAUAAAUAUUUUCUUUAAUAAAGAUUUUUUUUUAACUGUUGUAAAUGACCUAAUUCACUCCAAACUAUUACAGACUAAAUUACUUUUAGGGAGAUUAAAUAUAUUUAGAAUGUCAUUUUUGUGUCAUGACUAAAAUGAAUUUUAAGUGAAAAGAUGAAACAUAGAUAGAGAAAAGCGACAUACCAAAAUAUUAGGAAUAUAAUGAGAGAAAUGAGGAACAUCUUGAAGAAUAUAAUCUUUUACUUUCUUCAAUUUCACACUUCCACCCUUGUUUGAAUGUCGAGUAUUCCAAUUAGAAGGAUAUCCUUUAAUUUCAAAGCACUUUGCUUUGCUAUGACCAAUUUUUCCACACUGUUCACAUUUCAAUUUCACAUUACUCUUAAUUUCCUUCUCCUCUAUAAAUAGUUUAUUUUCCCUUAUGAUGUGAUUAAUACUCCUUCUAGAGAUAAUAUAUUUCUAUUUAGAAUUAUUGAUUUUGAAGCAGCACCACAACUACACUCUGGUAUUGGUAUGGCUGUGUGGCACACCAGGAGCGGGACCAAAAUGUUUCACUGCUUCCCUAGCAUUCUUUGGGCCUCUUAGAAGAACCUGAUUUCAACAAAUAGUUUAUUAAAUUUGGAUUACUAAGCUUAUUAAGCACCUAACCAUAACAAAGGUUAUUCCAUCACAAGUCACACAUAUAUACUAUAAAUCAAGAAAUUAUUCUUUAGACAAGGCUGACACUAUUUAACAGGAAAAACCAAGCUGCCAACAAAGUUGGAUUAUGAACUUGGGACUAUUUCAGUAGAUUGACAGCAAAAACAAAUCUCCAAAGUGCAAUAGAAAGAUAGCACUAAUAACAAUGAAAGCAACAGAAGGAAAUAUUCAUAUAUGAUUCAUACCGUGUUCUGCCCAAGGGGAGCCCUGAGAGCAAGUUGAUCAAAUGUUAACCAUUCACCACCAGCCUUUUCUAUUCUUGCACGUGCUGUUCCUGUCACAAGAAAUCAAUUUGGUUCAAAAAGAUAUGGUUAUGUUUUUUGUAAAUCUAAUUUUGGUUCAGGUCGAAAAUAACUGAUGCACCAAAUGUUUAUACCUGUUUGAUUUGGGACGAACCAUUAAGUUUGGUUUGAAUUAAUCGAGCUGUUAGUAACGAUUUAGUUCGGUUUUCUUUCUAAACUGAUCCAUGGACGGUUCUAGUGUUUGAUGGUGGGUUAUGAAGCUCCAAUAAAAUAUUUGGAAUCAGAAUUAUUUGUUUGUGAAAUGAAGUGAGAAAUUACUGUAAUGGUAGUUCUAAAUAUCUUAAUUGUUUUUUUAUCCGUGUGACAGGAACCUGGCAAGAUGGAAGCUCAGACGGCUGAGUUUGGCACUGCAUAUGUGUUGAAAAAUAUCCUAACAACUCGGAAAACUGGUCCUCCAAUACUUCCCAAGGGAGAGUAUGGAACUGGAUUUAAUCCAGAUACCCCUGACACCUUGCCCUCUUGGCUCACAGAAGCUGAUCUUGCUUAUUUUGUCUCCAAAUUUGAGAAAACGGGCUUCACUGGAGGAUUGAACUACUAUAGAAACUUGAACUUGUAAUUUUUUGUUCCUCUAUGCUCUUGAAUAUUGUUUUUCAAUAUAUAACAUUAAUAACACUUAAGAUUGAAAACGUAUCAUGUGUCUGACAUUGGCAAGACACCAACAUAUUUAAUUACUUUUAUUUUCUCAACUAAUUAUUGUUGGUGCCAACAUGCAUCAAUGCCAUGUCUGGUGUAAAUAUUUGUGCUAGCAUGAAAAGUGUCCCAAUUCUAAUGACAGAUAAAUUAUUGCUUAUAUUGCUGAAAUUGGGAGCUGAUGGCACCACGGCAUGGAGCAAAAAUCUAUGUGCCUGUGAAAUUCAUUACAGGCGAGUUAGACAUGGUAUACACCUCACUUAACAUGAAGGAAUAUAUCCAUGGUGGAGGAUUCAAGGAAGAUGUACCUAAUUUGGAGGAAGUGAUUGUGCAAAAAGGAGUGGCUCACUUCAACAAUCAA
rnacentral:lncRNA from 1 species